rnacentral:rRNA from 1 species
UACGAAGGGGGCUAGCGUUGCUCGGAAUCACUGGGCGUAAAGCGCACGUAGGCGGAUCUUUAAGUCAGGGGUGAAAUCCCAAGGCUCAACCUUGGAACUGCCUUUGAUACUGGGGAUCUCGAGUCCGGAAGAGGUGAGUGGAGCUGCGAGUGUAGAGGUGAAAUUCGUAGAUAUUCGCAAGAACACCAGUGGCGAAGGCGGCUCACUGGUCCGGUACUGACGCUGAGACGCGAAAGCGUGGGGAGCGAACAGG